rnacentral:rRNA from 1 species
AGAGUUUGAUCCUGGCUCAGAACGAACGCUGGCGGCAUGCCUAACACAUGCAAGUCGAACGAUGCUUUCGGGCAUAGUGGCGCACGGGUGCGUAACGCGUGGGAAUCUGCCCUUGGGUCUGGGAUAACAGUUGGAAACGACUGCUAAUACCGGAUGAUAUCGCGAGAUCAAAGAUUUAUCGCCCGAGGAUGAGCCCGCGUAGGAUUAGCUAGUUGGUGGGGUAAAGGCCUACCAAGGCGACGAUCCUUAGCUGGUCUGAGAGGAUGAUCAGCCACACUGGGACUGAGACACGGCCCAGACUCCUACGGGAGGCAGCAGUGGGGAAUAUUGGACAAUGGGCGAAAGCCUGAUCCAGCAAUGCCGCGUGAGUGAUGAAGGCCUUAGGGUUGUAAAGCUCUUUUACCCGGGAUGAUAAUGACAGUACCGGGAGAAUAAGCCCCGGCUAACUCCGUG